GACGAACGCUGGCGGCGUGCUUAACACAUGCAAGUCGAACGGAAAGGCCUGCUUUCCCUUGUGGAUUGCGGGUACUCGAGUGGCGAACGGGUGAGUAACACGUGAGUGAUCUGCCCCCAACUUGGGGAUAAGCCUGGGAAACUGGGUCUAAUUCCCGAUAGGACUGCAGGGUGGUGCCUGUGGUGGAAAACGAUUUUCUAGUGGUUGGGGAUGAGCUCGCGGCCUAUCAGCUUGUUGGUGGGGUAAUGGCCUACCAAGGCGGCGACGGGUAGCCGGCCUGAGAGGGUGGACGGCCGCAUUGGGAGUGGGAUACGGCCCAGACUCCUACGGGAGGCAGCAGUGGGGAAUAUUGCACAAUGGGCGGAAGCCUGAUGCAGCGACGCCGCGUGGGGGAUGACGGCCUUCGGGUUGUAAACUCCUUUCGACCGCGAGGAAGCCACCUGGUUGGAAGGGUGGUGACGGUAGUGGUAGAAGAAGCACCGGCUAACUACGUG
rnacentral:rRNA from 1 species